GGAGAGGUGGCCGAGUGGCUGAAGGCGCAUGCCUGGAAAGCGUGUAAACGUUAAUAGCGUUUCGAGGGUUCGAAUCCCUCUCUCUCCGCCA
rnacentral:tRNA from 2 species